UACGGGGAGGGCAAGCGUUGUUCGGAAUUACUGGGCGUAAAGGGCGCGUAGGCGGUCCGCUAAGUUAGAUGUGAAAACUCUGGGCUCAACCCAGAGCCUGCAUCUAAUACUGACGGGCUAGAGUUCUGGAAGGGGUAGCGGAAUUCCUGGUGUAGCGGUGAAAUGCGUAGAUCUUGGGAAGAACACCUGUGGCGAAAGCGCUCUACUGGACCGCGACUGACACUGAUGGACGAAAGCUAGGGGAGCGAAUGGG
rnacentral:rRNA from 1 species